CGUAGGUAAUCUACCUUCGGGUGGGGAAUAACCCAGGGAAACUUGGGCUAACACCGCAUGAUGCAGCGGCACCACAUGGUGACAGUUGUUAAAGCGGGGGAUUUUCGGACCUCGCGCCUGAAGAGGAGCCUGCGGCGGAUUAGCUAGUUGGUGAGGUAACGGCUCACCAAGGUGACGAUCCGUAGCCGGCCUGAGAGGGCGGUCGGCCACACUGACACUGACAUACGGGUCAG
rnacentral:rRNA from 1 species